rnacentral:rRNA from 1 species
UACAGAGGGUGCAAGCGUUGUUCGGAAUCAUUGGGCGUAAAGCGCACGUAGGCGGACUGGCAAGUUGGGUGUGAAAUCCCUCAGCUUAACUGAGGACGUGCAUUCAAAACUGCCAGCCUUGAGUACGAAAGAGGAUCGCGGAAUUCCCGGUGUAGAGGUGAAAUUCGUAGAUAUCGGGAGGAACACCAGUGGCGAAGGCGGCGAUCUGGGUCGAUACUGACGCUGAGGUGCGAAAGCGUGGGGAGCAAACAGG